UCUUAGUUGGUAGAGUACAAAGCUCUUAACCUUGUGGACGUGGGUUCGAGCCCCAU
rnacentral:tRNA from 1 species